rnacentral:rRNA from 1 species
AGCAGUAGCCGCGGUAAUACGUAGGGUGCGAGCGUUAAUCGGAAUUACUGGGCGUAAAGCGUGCGCAGGCGGUUGUGUAAGACAGGUGUGAAAUCCCCGGGCUUAACCUGGGAACUGCGCUUGUGACUGCACAGCUAGAGUAUGGCAGAGGGGGGUGGAAUUCCACGUGUAGCAGUGAAAUGCGUAGAGAUGUGGAGGAACACCGAUGGCGAAGGCAGCCCCCUGGGCCAAUACUGACGCUCAUGCACGAAAGCGUGGGGAGCAAACAGGAUUAGAUACCCGCGUAGUCCCUGUCUCUUAUAA